rnacentral:rRNA from 1 species
UGGGGAAUUUUGGACAAUGGGCGAAAGCCUGAUCCAGCAAUGCCGCGUGUGUGAAGAAGGCCUUCGGGUUGUAAAGCACUUUUGUCCGGAAAGAAAUCCUUGGCUCUAAUACAGUCGGGGGAUGACGGUACCGGAAGAAUAAGCACCGGCUAACUACGUGCCAGCAGCCGCGGUAAUACGUAGGGUGCAAGCGUUAAUCGGAAUUACUGGGCGUAAAGCGUGCGCAGGCGGUUUGCUAAGACCGAUGUGAAAUCCCCGGGCUCAACCUGGGAACUGCAUUGGUGACUGGCAGGCUAGAGUAUGGCAGAGGGGGGUAGAAUUCCACGUGUAGCAGUGAAAUGCGUAGAGAUGUGGAGGAAUACCGAUGGCGAAGGCAGCCCCCUGGC